CCGAUGUUCGCCAGGCCGGUGUCGUAGUUGCCGGUGUUAUAGCUGCCGGUGUUGUAGGUGCCGGAGUUGAAGUUUCCGGUGUUGGCC
rnacentral:tRNA from 1 species